rnacentral:sRNA from 1 species
GGACCGACGCGGAUUACGGUGG